GUACACUCCUACGGGAGGCAGCAAUGGGGAAUAUUGCACAAUGGGCGCAAGCCUGAUGCAGCCAUGCCGCGUGUAUGAAGAAGGCCUUCGGGUUGUAAAGUACUUUCAGCGGGGAGGAAGGCGAUAAGGUUAAUAACCUUGUCGAUUGACGUUACCCGCAGAAGAAGCACCGGCUAACUCCGUGCCAGCAGCCGCGGUAAUACGGAGGGUGCAAGCGUUAAUCGGAAUUACUGGGCGUAAAGCGCACGCAGGCGGUCUGUCAAGUCGGAUGUGAAAUCCCCGGGCUCAACCUGGGAACUGCAUUCGAAACUGGCAGGCUAGAGUCUUGUAGAGGGGGGUAGAAUUCCAGGUGUAGCGGUGAAAUGCGUAGAGAUCUGGAGGAAUACCGGUGGCGAAGGCGGCCCCCUGGACAAAGACUGACGCUCAGGUGCGAAAGCGUGGGGAGCAAACAGGAUUAGAAACCCGAGUAGUCCCAU
rnacentral:rRNA from 1 species